AAGGGAGAGGAAUAAGUAGAAAUCUACCCUCGGAUCGGGGAUAGCGGCGGGAAACUGCCGGUAAUACCCGAUAACGUCUUUGGACCAAAGGUGUGAUUCCGUCUGAGGAUGAGUCUACUUCCUAUUAGCUAGUUGGCGGGGUAAUGGCCCACCAAGGCAACGAUGGGUAGCAGGUGUGAGAGCAUGACCUGCCUCAUUGGGACUGAGACACUGCCCAGACACCUACGGGUGGCUGCAGUCGAGAAUCUUCGGCAAUGGACGAAAGUCUGACCGAGCGACGCCGCGUGCGGGAUGAAGGCCUUCGGGUUGUAAACCGCUGUCGGAGGGGAACAAAUGUACGGGGGUUCUCCCCUGUAUUUGAGUGAACCUAGGAGGAAGGAGAGGCUAAGCUCGUGCCAGCAGCCGCGGUAAGACGAGCUCUCCGAACGUUAUUCGGUAUCACUGGGCUUAAAGAGUUCGUAGGCGGUCUGGUAGGUGAGGUGUGAAAUCCCCCGGCUCAACCGGGGAACUGCGCUUCAAACCGCCGGACUUGAGGGAGACAGAGGUGGGCGGAACAGAUGGUGGAGCGGUGAAAUGCGUUGA
rnacentral:rRNA from 1 species